GCCCGUUUAGCUCAGUGGUAGAGCGCACCACUCGUAUACGGAGAAAAUGGUGAGGUCGGUUGUUCAACCCAGCCAAUGGGCA